rnacentral:rRNA from 1 species
GUGGGAUACUACCCUAGCUGUGUUGGCUUUCUAACCCGCACCACUUAUCGUGGUGGGAGACAGUGUCAGGCGGGCAGUUUGACUGGGGCGGUCGCCUCCUAAAAGGUAACGGAGGCGCUCAAAGGUUCCCUCAGAAUGGUUGGAAAUCAUUCAUAGAGUGUAAAGGCAUAAGGGAGCUUGACUGCGAGACCUACAAGUCGAGCAGGGUCGAAAGACGGACUUAGUGAUCCGGUGGUUCCGCAUGGAAGGGCCAUC